rnacentral:rRNA from 1 species
CGACUACAUGAAGCUGGAAUCGCUAGUAAUCGCAGGUCAGCAUACUGCGGUGAAUACGUUCCCGGGUCUUGUACACACCGCCCGUCACGCCAUGGGAGCCGGAAAUGCCCGAAGCCAGUGACCCAACCUUAGGGAGGGAGCUGUCGAAGGUGGAGCCGGUAACUGGGGUGAAGUCGUAACAAGGUAAC